rnacentral:sRNA from 1 species
GCUGGGCACAGUGGUGCACACCUGUAAUCCCAAUGCUCAGGAGGCCGAGACAGGAGAAUUGCAAGUUCGAGGCCAGCCUCAGCAACUUAGCAAGACCCUGUCUCAA